GUGCUCUGAGGAAGCAGGCACAAUGUCUCCAGAAAGCAGCGUUGUGUGGCUCCUCGAAGGGCAGAGCUGACAGGCCAGAAGAGAAUUCCAUCUCAAAUGGCCAUCCUGGGGCAUUUCUUGGAGAACACUCUCAGCUCCCGAGUCUCCUCUCCUUGAACUGCUGGGAGGCAGGCUGCAAUCGCACAAGACAGUUGGAAAUGUGGAGAGGGGCUUCUGAACCUGGGCGCUCUGGUUUCGGCUGGAACGCGGAGAAGGUCCUCAGGCCUCUCCGUGGUCUGGUGCGGGUCUCUCAGCAGAGGUUGUCGGGAGGCUGCCAGCGGGAUCCAGCUCUGGGGAGCAGCGCCCAGCAUGGGGCCUGUGCUGGGGAAGACGCAGAUUCACCUCCUAAUGGCCGGAAAAGAAAACACCGCCGGAGACAGAGAAAACAAAGGUUACAGGUUGCAAAAUAGAAGACUUCUUUCUUUCUUAUUUGAGCCUGGGAAACAGAAGAGAAUAAAGACCUUUAAUUGUGUAUUCUUCUGUCAAACCCUUUAUGAAAUGUGGAUAAAUUCCAUUCUUUGAUUGCAUGAGGGGAAAGAAUUGGUUAAAUGACUGUAAUGAUAAGUAGCAUCUUUUAACGAGAACGUGCAGUGGCAGGGAUGCCAUAUGGCUGUAAACUCAUUCCCCGGUUCAGGAAACCCAAGAACAUGUGCUAGCUAAGGACUUGCCCCCAGGUUAGAUCUUGCGCCAUCAGUCUGCUCUCAACUUUGAUUUUCUCAUCUGUGAAAUGGGACAAUAAUGGUGCUGAGUUGUGAGGGUUGUUUUGAAGAUUGAA